UACGGAGGGGGCAAGCGUUAUCCGGAUUCACUGGGCUUAAAGGGCGCGUAGGCGGACAGGUAAGUCAGUGGUGAAAUCUCUGGGCUUAACCCAGAAACUGCCGUUGAUACUAUUUGUCUUGAAUAUCCUGGAGGUAGGCGGAAUAUGUCAUGUAGCGGUGAAAUGCUUAGAUAUGACAUAGAACACCGAUAGCGAAGGCAGCUUACUACAGGAUGAUUGACGCUGAGGCACGAAAGCGUGGGGAGCAAACAGG
rnacentral:rRNA from 1 species